rnacentral:rRNA from 1 species
UAUAGUAAGAAUAUGGUGACUAAUAGUGUACAAAGUACUGUGAAGGAAAAAUAUGAAACUGAUUGAAAGAUAUUAAGUAUCAACAAAUAAAC